CCCCCCCCCCCCCCCAGCUCAGAGCUCAAAUGCUGAAAUGUGCUUUUAUCUGACUUAGUCAGGGUUAUCAUUAAAAGUGAAUUUUUUGUGGGGAUUUAAAUUGUGCUUAAGAUGUUUUAUAUCGAAAUACAUGGAAAGAUCUUAAAGUCCAGAGAGAGAGGGGAGUUGCCGGGGAAAUAACUCACACACCGCAAAGGGGAAAUAGUGUUUAUUUUUCUGUGUUUACCCUCAUCAGUUCUUGGAAGAAUAUUCUUUUCUGACAUGAUAACACAAGCUCCAUGCUCCUUAGUGACAGCUAACGAAUGAUCCUUGCUUUGGGUGUUGAGCCCUCUUGAAGUGAGAUUCCAUCUCUGCAUUGCUCACUCUAUUACAGAAUAACUUGAUUGAUCUUCGAGGUACUUAACGGUCUGAUUAGUUUUUCUCUUUUCCUUUGCUGAGUCCAGUCUCAGCUGAGUCCAGCCUACCUCAGCUCAGAUUCCUAAACGCGCCUCACACAGGGGAGGUCUUUAAAGGUACUGCUGUAGUGACUUUUCUUUUCUUUCCUUUUUUUGUUGUUUUUGUGUCACAACCAUGUAGCUCCCAUAAACUCCGACUAAAACUCGUCCUCUUGGCAGUCUGACCUGUCCUCGUGGAGAGAACGGUUGAUGCUCAGCCCCUCAAACAAUGAGCAUUCACUGAGGUUGCUGAGCUGUGCAUGGGCCUUGUUUUCAUUAUUUCAAAAUGGCAGCUGUUUUGAACCUUUUUUUUUAUUUUUGUAGGCUUUUUUUUUUUUCCCACCUUUCACAGUGAACCAUUUUGACUGAAUUAUGUUGUCGUCAUUACAAGCUAUUGCGUCGUUCCCGUCAUUUCUCUUUGCCAGUGGUUACGCCGCGUGUGUGACUUCUGUGCUGUCAACUUCCCCCUGAACUGUGUAGAGUGACCAGGCCCUAUCACAAGCACAACAACCACAUCCCCCCCCCCGCUCUCUUCCAGCAAGUAAAGCUUUCGAAAAAUGUCCUUUACACAUGGCCUUCAUAAUAACAGGGAUAAUAUAACUGGAGUAAAGCCUCGGUGUUACAAUCCCAGGCGUCAGCUGAGGCUGUUUGCAUUAGCAACAGAUUAAUAAAAGCUUGAUGUGGUUAUCCCAUGAUUUCAAACUAUAAUGAGUAGAGCCUGAGGAAUGUCUCUGUGAUAAUCAAACACUGGAAAGAUGGGGAAAAUUCAUCUUAGUCACAGUAAUGGUGUCAAAAUAACCACUGAAAAAUUCCUGCUUUUGAGUUGACAGCACUUAAAGGAAGAUCCACCUGAAAACAGAACAGAUUAAGUACAGUAUUGAUUAAAAAAAUAUAACAAUAACAAAAAAAACCAUUCUGAUAAGUUGUUUUUAGAAAAAAAAAAAGUUGGUUGAACUAUCGUCUUUAAGGUCCAGUGUGUAAGAUUAUGUGAAAUUGUACAGUAAAAAAAAAACAGGGACUCCUCUGUGAACUAUGGUACCUUCACUCUCUCUGCCAUUUCCUUUAUCUACUUUGUUGGUGUAUAUAUCAGGUUUAUUUUUCUAAAUUUACAUAUUAAGCUUCCCUUUUAAAUGCAAAAAAGCAUUUCCAUUUGUGUGUGUUACAUUCACAUUACUCAGUUUUUGUUAGAAAAACAUCCCCCACUGCUGUGAAUACGCCUGUCGUCCACACUACCCCUGGAGUUUUAGAGCCCCUAAAUACUGAUUUUGUUUGAAAAAAAUCAGACCUUUGGAAAAAAUGACGCAGUUAUCCGCGUUCGAUUCCUGAUUGGUUCACCCACGAUAGCUAUGUUAAGACGUGCAAAGCGAUCAGUUCCGGUAGGAUGGUACAAUUCCACCGUUUACAUGGACGCAAAAUGAAAUGACCCGAUGGUGGUGUGCGUACACAUGCGUGAAGCGUUCAGUCAGAAUGGACUAUGGACGUGUGCAGUGUUGUCUAAGAAGAAGAAGCUUCACUUCCGCUUCUGUUGUAAACAAACACUGCACGUGUCUGCUCGUCCCAUCACUGUCCACUAUUCUCCCCUUCUGCGUCUGUGACCUUUUUUUAAAAUGGAAAAACAGCAGGAUGUAUUUUUUUGGACAAUACUGUGUUAAAAAAAGGAGAAGAAAAUCUUCCUAUAUAUAUAUAUAUAUAUAUAUAUAUAUAUAUAUAUAUAUAUAUAUAUAUAUACCAAUCUGCUUAUGGGUAGUGUAUUCCAUUUCUGUCAAUUAACCCUCCUCAAUGUUACACACUGGACCUUUAAAGCAUCUCUGGCAGACGGAAAAUAUCCGAGAAAAUGACUCUGUGCGUGAUAAAAACAACAGCCUCAUCAAAGAUGGCUCUCAUAUAUUUAUCUUAACCACAGAGGUCUGCGUAUAUGAGUGCACUAAACUAAACAACCUGAGAUCAGAGGAAUAAGGACUCGUUCCCUUUUUUUAGCGUGGACUUUCCCUUAAAGGCUGAGUGAAAAUGUGAAAGGAUUUUUUCUUCCCUCGCAGUCAUGUUUGAGCUCAGCACGAGCAGCAGACUUAAGAACUCAUGUUUUUUUUGUAAAGUAACCAGUAGCACUUACUAAAGCCUUACAUGUGCCUUAUAUUAUUCUCCAAAACACAGUGAGUCAGUAGCAACAGUUCUGAGAAAAGAAACUUCAAGUCCAGUUGAUCCCGACUCGCUGUGUUUUGAUAACGAUGACCUGGAUGAAUGAGAAUCUACACAGACACGUGCCUUAUUCUUUCAAACUGUUCAUAAUCCUGAACCAGGAAGCUCCCAACUCAUUAAGCUCUUACCUGUCUAACCAAAGACACAAAAUCUUGAAUUAUGGUGAACUUUCUUAAGUGUUGUGCCUUUUUUUCUUCCUGCCCCCCCCCCCCGUCUUUAAAUCUCACUGAGAAGGGGAUUGACGGUGGACAGUCAUAUAGAACCUCUCGCCUGCCUUUUCUCUUAAUAUUACCUCACUUUGAUUGAAUCAACACAACCUCCUCGAGCUCAAGUAUCCGAAUUUCCUCGCGUUAUUUUUCAUGCCAUAACUGUCUGUGAGAUGGAAAAGACUGAAUCACCAGCAGCACUUUGGUUUAAAGUGAUUUUAUAUUGGGGGGGAGGAGGGGCAAUUAAAAUCUCAUAGUAUUAAUUCAAAACAAUCCCAAAAUUGUCAGCAUAUCAAAAAAAAACAGCAUUUGGCGAUGCUGCGGAGAGUCUGACAUGAUUUCAUCCUCUUGAGACUCUUUCUCUUUGCGUUGUUUAUGUCCUUGUUUUGUUCUGUUUUGCAAGAAUAAUGAGCUGAAACUGCCUUUUUCUUAUAGAGUAACGGUCCCUCCAGAACUUUUAAGGGACGUGUCAGUAUAUUUUGGAUACUUUGUGUACAAAAAAGAGAACAAAAAAAAAAUAAACAGAAAUGAAAUAGUGUUGUAUUUUAUAUAUAAUAGAACAUUUCAAUAUAGUGACACGUCACUAAUAUAUUUAUUUACUAAUAUAUUUAUCCAUUUUGUCCAGGUUUGAAAGAGUGGUUUCUGUAUAGAGUGAAUGUUCCUAUAUGGAAACUGACCAGUGCCAUCACAGAUCUAUCAACCUGUCUUCAUUCCAAGUAUAUGCAAAUAAAUUAUUUUGAAGUAAAAACCUGAAUGUUGUGUACAUUUUUCCUGCGGGAGAAUCCAGUGAAGUGUCACGUGUGUUGUCUUUCUGUGGAAGUCUUGUCGGGAAUAUUUAAUAUAUUUUAUUUAACAGCUUUUAUUAGACCUCUGAAGAAGAUUGAGACCACAUUGGAAAUCUCUUAUAUUUAGAAAAGGUUACAUUGAGACUCUUAUAGAGAGUAAUGUCAUGUAAAAUGACAUAUUUAAUAAUUUACAAAUGUUUGCCAAAAAAUGUUUGCCAAAAUACUUUUAAAAUAGUCAGAUGUUUGUGUCCUUCCAUGUCUUCAGGUGACAUUCUGUAUAAAAAGCAUCUAAACAUCAAUGGCUCCAACUCAUCAUAUACAGACAGAAUCCACUUAUUUAAAAGUACAAAAUUACUUUUACAAAAAAGGUAAUAAUGCUCUCCUGCUUCAGCUUGAAUUUCAGCAAAAAAAUUCAAAUGUUUUUAUGCAGUAAAAUAGUGAGAGCAACAUCUUUUUGACACUAAUAGACACCUGACCUGCUGUUGACCUAAUCUUCAAGACUUUCACUUGGCCUUCACUUCACAAAGUCUGCAGCACAGUUAGCAAAUAGCUGGAAGCUAACUAGCUUCAAGAUGCCUCCCCUCUCCAUGGACGAGUACACCACACUUCUACAGGAGAUUACUGCGCUGGAAACUUAAGAUGCACAGGUUAGAAGUGAACGUGGAGGUAAAUGGACUGUAUGAAAAUGAUAGCACUCUUCCAUUUAACUACAAUAACAGAGAAAAGCAUGCCAACGGCUAACUAGCAACAAGAAGAGCGCUGAGCACCAGAAUGGCUGUUUGACCACUACAAACGGGGAAAAAACACUAAUUACUAAAUUUUGGUACCAAACAUUUUGCUCUCAUUGUUUGAUUCGUUAAGAUGUGUUGUUAUUUGUAUUUAAAAAAUUACAGCAAGCCUUUCGCCUGCAUUUUAAACUGAAAAUAAAUAAUAUGACCAGUGACAUCAGCUGGUGAAUAUAGUAGAACAGAGCGCCUGAUAAACUGACAAGUUGAUAAAUUGGCCUGAUAAAUUAACUUUACUGACAUAUGAACCAAAAAUCCCAGAAUUUUGAACGUUUGUACUCUCUUUACGAGAGUUAAAAGUGUCCUGCUCACAUGUUAGCAUCACAUGUACGUAUGCUAAGCUACUGCUAGCAGCUGGUUAGCUUAGUAAUCUUAGCAUGUAGAUUCAUGCUAAGAUUACCAGGCUCAAUGUAACAUAACCCAAUUAUCAGCUGUGUCCCAACCUUAUAUGAGGGACCUACUUUUUUUAAAGAUGACAAACUAUUGCAUUGUACGAAAUAUGUGUAAAUUACGACAAGCAAUUUUUUACUGUCAUUUCUGUAAGACAUUUCGCAGCUUCAUUUUAUGUAUAUAAGUUUUUUAUAAUAAAUCAUAUAUACUGUGCAGAUACCAGAGUGAUGUCAAUGUACUUAAAGGUCCAGUUUGUAAGAGUAAUAUGAAACUUAGAAAAUACCCCAAAAUGAGUUGAUAUAAUAAUAUUUAGAUCAUGAUUUCACAGUGUCCGACAAUGGAUAAACUAAAAGCCUUUUUGAGUUUUAAUAAUAACUGAAGGCUCUCCAUAACUAUUUUUCCACCAAGUGAAAAAUUCAAUUUGGUACAAUACUAUACAUAUUUUUAUAACCGACCCCAACGGUUCCAUAGUUUUGUUCCCUUCCCUUGGAGUAAAAUGGUACAGGGUAGAACAUCACUCCCUUGCGAUCAGUGUAAAUAUCCUAUGGACAUCUAGGCCAAUGUUCGCAGUCUUUUCUCAUGCAAAGCUUGACCUCUCGUUGAGACGUGUCCAAUGUUGUCCAUUGUUGUCUAUGUUGCUGUCUGUUGUGUCGCGUUCAAUGCCGUUUUCGUUGCAGCCAUCGAUCUCAGCCUACAUCGAAAUAACGCAAGCCUGACCCAGAGCUUUACCAUUCCAAACCGUACCGUACCAUACUGUACCAAACCGAACCAUACCAUGAUGGAAACGCAGCACUUCCGGUUCAUUGAUGGGCAUCUUGAUGGUCUCUUCAUAGUUUGUGACCACGAUGGACCUCAGUGAGCUGAACUCUGUGUGGAUCUGCUUGUCAUCUAUGGACCAGAACCGGUGGAACAGCAAACACUUCAGGUACCUGGAAUUUUUGGAGAACAAGAGGUGGAGUGUUUACUUGUCCUUUGGUCCUGUGUGUGUGUCCACUGUGUCCGUCCAGUGUGUGUACGUGCACUCAGUCAGGAAUCUUACCAGUCUGAAAUUGGCAACAUUUGGUCAUCUGGCUGGUUUCCCACAAUGUGAUCGAUGAACCUCAAACCUGUGGGUGGACUAUACAGAAGAGUAGAGAAAAAAAGUGGAGAGACAAAUUCAGAGUCCCUGCUUCAUACUGGUAUGUACUUUUUGUACAUAUUUAUCUGCCACCAAAUAAAAUAAAAAAAAUAGGAUUAAGUCAAUGUUCAGGGACUGGUUUCACUUUGUAGACAUCUGCUGUCAAGGAAAAAUACAUUUAAAAGAGCCACCCUGCUCCACCCUGGAGUAGCCAGUGCUUGACUAUUAUUGAUACAAAUCAAUAAUUAGUGAUAAUAAUAAUAAUAAUAAUAAUAAUAAUAGUGUUAAUUCCACCAAACCAGUGUCACUCUUGUUACAGUCAAAUCUAGUCUUAAUUUGCUCUUUCAUAUUCAAAGGGAAUAUUAAUGAAUGUUAAUUGACUUUGGUUUUUAAAACAUUUCACUCUAUUCAGAUAUUUAAAAAUAUCUGAAGAUAUCUUGAUUUCUUUAAUAUGUUAACAACCAAGUAAAAUCACUUUCUGGAAACAAUAUUUGCUCAACAACUGUUCUUUUAUUUAGUUUUAAAUAAUUAAUAUCUAAAGGCAUAUGAAUCUCUUGAUCUAAAUUACCAGAUUUGAAGUAAUUUAACAGCACAUCAGGAUCUGACUGAGUUUAGGACAAGUCGAUACAUUUUGGAGGAAUUAUAGUUAAGCAGCAGGCUUCCACCCUGUCUCUAUUCUUUUUCAUCUUCUUUCAAGGCCUAACCUGCAAAGUCAGUCAUUGUGCCACCUAAUGGCAACAGGAAGUAUGCCUUCAAUAAUAACCUUGCUUCAUUUACAUCAGGAAUCUAGCAAGUUACUGAGCCCCUCUGGUGACAUAGGUGAAAAAAAUAUUAAUGUGUGGCCAUGCGUUACUAUCUCGUUCCCACAACUUAGUAAUGGGAACGAGAUAGUAACGCUUGGCCAACAUUAUAAAUUAAUAUUUAAUGCUUUAAUAUUAGUACUUAUGAUACGUAAAAUAUGACGUAAAUUGCGCAAAAAAACACAGGUUUUUUUGUCAUUGUGAAUAAUUUGGCUUGCCAUAAUAAGUAUCUUGUUACCACGUGUAACCAAGGCGUGGGAACGAGAUUGUAACGCGUGGCCACACAUUAAUAUUUUCUUAUCUAUGUCACCAGAUAAGCUCCGUAGCAAGUAAAUUUGGCCAUGGGCUAAUAUUUUUCUAAGCAAUUGAAUAGACAUUAUAUCUUCAUAAGGCAAAAGUAACUUUUUUAUUCUAAUCUAAACUGGUCAAUAUUGUACAAAAAUCCUAAAUUUAACAAAUGUAUUGGUUUAAAAAAGUUACUUGAAUUUGCCACAGACUGUUGAGUGUCUUAAAACUGCUCUUUGACUCUUUGGCUCUAAAUUCUGAAUGACUUUGUCAUUUUUGUGAAGAAAAGCAAUUUAAACAAUUUAAAAAAAAACGUCUACUACUACUUCAUAAUAAGGCUGGCAACUGAUUUGCUUGAAGCUUUCAGGUUGUUGUCUACAUUUGAAAAAAGAUUGUUUAAAGUCUAAUACAUAGCAUUGCUACUUUUACUGAAGAUCCUUUUAGAUAAAAGAAAAUAAAAAAUCAUUUUAAAAUUUUUUUUCAUGAAACAAAACAAACCAUGUUGUUAGUGAGGAGACUCACAGUGUGGGUAACAGAGGAUCCAUGAACAGAGGCUCUUUGUAGCUGGGCAGGAAAACACCUUUGUAUGGUCCCAGGUAUUCGAUGAGUGUGUGUGUUGUAUCUCCAUACUGAGGACAAAACAUUGACACAACAAUUACUCAAUCUCCAGUUUCAUGUGUGUAUUUACACGAGGCCCUCCGAUGUGCGUCACUCCUCACGUACUGUCUGAACCACAGCAUACUUGACCCUCCCGUGCUGAUCCUGCUCCACCCAUGGUUCCCUCACAAUCACGGCUCCCCGCUCUUUGGCUGUCUGUCAGCAGAGAGGACAUGGAGCUGGGAUCAGUUUGGAAAUGACACGAGCAUCGUACAGUACAGUACAACACUGUGUGCACUGCUCUUUGAAGCCCUCCAGUGGUUGAAGAAAGAAUAUAUUGAACACUUUAAAUGAUGCUGCUGUUGAGCUCUCCUCUAAAGUCAGUCUGACCCUGACUGAGCUGAGAAGUUCAAACACAUCCCAAGGUUGCUCUUGUUGUCACUACAGAAGCAAACAUGCUGAGUUUUGUAUGGCACUGAUUUCAAAAUUGAGACAAGUUUUUCAAGCAAGUCACAAAGGAAUAUGUGAUUUUUUUCAUUCAAAUCACCAAAGUCUGCAAAGUAUAGUAGUUAAAUAAAUUGUACCAGCUGCAACAUUACAUUGUACAUAAUUACAAUGCAAUUACAUACAUUAUUCGGAACAUGUCUUUAUGAAAUGUAACACAUUGUAAUUGUGCUUUUGUACCCGUUUACUGUGAUUGUAAAUGAUCUACUUUUUACUUUAACUUGAGUAGACUUAAGUAACAUUUCCUGAAAGUAUUAGUACUUUUAUUUGAGUCUUUUAGAACUCUUUCCACCUCUGCUUUGAAGUUUAAAAAAUGUAUGUGUUAUUGAGGUAAAAGACUGACCACUGUAUGGUUAAAACCACUGAGUGUGUGACUUUGCAAACACAUGAACUAAAUAACUUUUGCGAAAGAAAAAAAACACACACACUGGACAUGACUCUUGAAUAACU